rnacentral:lncRNA from 1 species
UUUAUAUAAGGAUACAGAGUUAACAGGAAUUCAGGACAUACCAAGCACUAUAUUAGGUACUGAGGAUACAAAGUGAAAAGCAAAAAGUAGUCCUGAUCUUUAAGGAUUUUACAGUCUAGCUUGGAUAGAAAGCAUAUAUGUAUGUAUGUAUAUAUGUCAUAACAAUAUGUUCAAAACAAAUACAUAAAUACAUGGUGAUUGGAGAAGGAAGGCACUAUCAUCUGCUGGGGGAGGGGGGAAGUAAGUGAGUAAGUGAUCAGGGAAGGCCUGAUGGGGAGAGGGAGAGAGAGAGAGACACAGAGAGAGAGACAGAGAGACAGAGACCGAGGCAGAGACAGAGAGACACAGAGAGAGAGAGAGAGAGAGAGAGAGAGAGAGAGAGAGAGAGAGAGAGAGAGAGAGAGGAGAAUAAUUUUUUUGGUUGGGAUUAGGUUGUGUAGGGCUUUAAAUAUCAAACAUCCCAGAGAUAAGAAGAAACUGUGGUUUACCAAGGAUUCAGUAAAGUAAAUCAUCAGAUUUGUAUUUUAGAGAAAUAAUUUUGACAGUUGUGGGAAAGACAGGCUGGGGAAAGGAGAUAUUUGAGACAAGGAGGCCAGUUAGGAGAUAAUUCUAAUAGAAUUAUUAGUUGAGGGGCAGUUGAGGGGCAGAACUAUAGUGGAGAGUAUGUGAGAGGAGAGAAAGAGAUUUAGGUCCUGACCUCAGAACUCUUCUAACAGGAUUUAGGAGGGUUAUCAAGAGGAGAGGAAAUGAAGGCAAUGAGUAUUGACAGCUUGUUCAAGGAAUUUGGCUGUGGAAAUUCAACAAGCCAGGGGGCGUUCCUCUCCAAGAAUGACAUAGAAGCAUAUUUUCACUGCAGACAUGGGCAUCCCAGUUUGUCAAAUCCACCAGAACUUCAGAGAAGAGCAAACAUGCUGCCCCAAUUAUGCCUUUGCACGUGUCUGACAUUUUCAUUAUCCUUGACGCAGUGCCUAUCGAAUAUUAUCUUGUUGGAAACGCUACUGCUGUCAAAUUAACUUAGAAUUGGUGGAGGACAAAAAGGCUUCUCAUCUUCUUGUGCCACCUGGAAAAAUCAGCAGAGAAAUAUAAUUUUGUCAUUUUUCAAAUUAAAUCAGAUUUUUGUACUCGC